rnacentral:lncRNA from 1 species
UUUUUUUUUAAAAAAGAUAGAUUAUCAAUAUAAGUGAUUUAUUGAAAAGAAAAAUUUGUGUAUGAUUAAUUUUAUUUGAAGCAGGGUUUUUGAAGGAUAAUGAAGGGGUCCCAAACACUGUGGAGUUGUUGGCUCUUCCGCUGUCAAAGUCACGUAUGCUUGGAAGCUUUUAACCACCGCUGUCAAAAGUCACGUAUACUGCAAUUGGAUCAUGGAUUUUUCAUUUAAUAAGAUAACCACCGGCGGCAACUCUGAUAUACAAAAACAUGUAUUUCAGAUUACGGAAUCUAUCCAAACAUAUAGCAUGCGAGUGCGAUUACCAGCUCGAGCAGUUUUUAUUGCGGAAUUCUUUCAAACACAUAGCACGCAUGUGAAGUUCCCACAUUGGACCUUCCAAGAUGUUAGUUUCUCUAUUCAGAAACCGAACUCAAUGCCUCAUCCCCUCCUUCAAAACCAUGACCACCGCAGCCGGGGCUAAAACCUCAAAAGACGAUUACUUCGCAGCCGUAAACCACAUCGCCAUCAUAGUCCGUCACGACAUAUAUCCAGAACGCACCCUCAACAGACUCAACCUCACCCUCACCUCAGAGCUCGUCUACCGCGUCCUCCGCGUCUGCCACACUACUUGCCCUUCCAAAUCCCUCCGCUUCUUCACCUGGGCCCGCUCCCAGCCCCAAUACUCUCCCACUUCCCUCGAAUUCGAACAGCUCAUCUGACCCUCGCCCACCACAAACUCUACCAGUCCAUGUGGAAUCUACGUUCUUCUGGCAUUUGAUUGCGUUCCACCCAAGCACGCUGUUAUUUAUUUUUAAGAAAUAAUGGUGUUUGUAAUUAUUGUCUUUUCUGGCUUUAUCUAGAGUUUAUCUGAGAAAUAAACAGUCAUAAAUAGUUUUGGUUGAUGGACUCUUGGACUUGGUAUUGGAAUUUGGAUUGAAGCAGAGGCGGUUGGCUCGGAGAAAUGAUUACUUUGAACAUUUUUUGCAUGCAUGUAUUUUAUGAUUUUUCAUUUGCUUCUAACCUUGUUGUUCAUUCAAAUGAAAUCAAAUACUCAUUUGGUAUGAUAGAAUCAGUGGGCAAUCAUUUUUAUUUUAGCUUAAAAACCAGGUUAUCUUUGCAUAGCUAUAGUUUUAUAGUUUCUGUUUCUGUGCUUUAUGCUUUCAAAUACUGAUGAUGAACCGAGUGUUUAGCCCAGAGCAAGCUUUCGGGUUUAAGGACAUUAAUUUGCAGCUGAUUCAGCGGUUACACAUACAAUGAUAAAAAUGUGUACCCAAACGCACAGUUUAUGAGCAUGUCUCUCACUGUAUACACGAUUGAGAGUGGGUCCGCCUCCUACUUUAUAACAAUUUAUGUUAUACUGACAAUAUUUUCCGCAGUGAUCGCAUGUUUGAAGUUUUGCUUCUCGAAAUGGCUCCUUUCAUUUUUUUCUUUAUUAAAAUAGACAAUUUUCGUUUUUCGUUUUCGACAAGGAAGGUAACUGAUACGUUUAACGAAGGGAUGAUGUUUUCCUUCAAAAAAUAGUUCAGAGUUAUCGGUAGCGUCUUGUCUUUAAUUUUCUGAACUCCGUGCAGUUGGUGUAAUAGUUUUUGCUGUUCUUCUCUUUGCGGCUAGUGCCUAGAGAGAUGGAGAGAAGCUGAAUGUGAACUAGGAAGGUGGAAAUGUUGUACAUUAACAUACGUAAUCAACUACGACUAUAAAUCCUUUUCAUGGACCCAAAACAUCAUAUCAAUCAAUGCCAUUAUAGUUAUCAAAACUAAAAAAUUAUGGCUUUUGAUAAGUUACAGCUUGUUGUAAGUUUUUGUCCUUACAAAAACAUACAAAAAAUAGUAAUAUGACAGUGAGCACACUUAAUUUUUGUAUGGGCUGUAAAUUACGCUAACUUAGUGUAACUAAAUGUAUUAUAAGAAAGACAAAAUUUAUUGAUUUUUUUCUUAACUAAGUGAUUAGAAUACAUUUACUCAUAAUUAUCGAAGCAGAAAUUAAGUGAUAAUCAAGGGCUUGUAAAACACUUAAUUUCAAACCUCUAAAUUUGAGAACUAUAACAAUAAGAGAAGUUAAGUAACAAUUAAGUGCUUAUAAAACGAUAACUUUUAUUAUAGGUAAAGGAGAUAUGUAUUCAAUAACUAACCACAGGCUGAAGCUCAUCUCAUAUGAAUACUAUUGUGCGAUAGAGAUUACAAUUGUAUGACAAAUGACCCUUGAUAAAUUUAGACAACUAGUAGAAAUUAGAAUUUAAAUUUUUUAUUUUUAAGUUUUUCCAAUAUUCCAAUGUUAAACAUUUAAUUAAAAUUAAAUAAAUCUUAAGGAUAUAUAAAAUCAUGUUUUUAUAAUAGGCCUAAAACGAAACUUUAGAAAAUACAUUUUUUAUGUUAAUAUCUCUUAUAUAUUUAUCUGUUACAUACAAAUAUGAUAUGAAUGAGUGAUAAACUCUUUCAUAAAUUAUAUAUUUGACAAGACCAAACCAAAACUUCCACAAAAUAAAUAAUUAAUUAGUUAAUCCAAAACUACCUCGGUUAAUCUGUUAAAUGUUGAAUGUGUUUGAAUAAAGUAAUUUAUAACAAUUUUAAACAAAAUAAAUUUGGUCUAUUCUAUAUUUCAGUCGUCAAUGAGAGUUCUUUUCACCCUUCAACUACUGGACUCUCGCAAUUUAGAGUUAUCAUUUUUAUUAUUAUUGUUAUUGGUCAUAAUUUUAAAAUUUGUUGGGAAAUCUGCGGAAUUAUAUAUUAAACAUCUAAAUUAAUAAUAUGUAUGAAAUAAAUGGCAUCCCACACAAAUAUAAACAAUAAUUUUACUUGAAUUAAACACCCAAAUCCUAUAUUAUAAUAUUAUGCAUAAUUAAACUUACACACUAGACCAUUUUAUUAUAAUUUGGACUUGUGAAGUAUAUUAUUCACUCAGAUUUAUCAACCGUAGGUCACUUUAUCAAACCAUGAUUAUUGUAGAAUUAAAAAAGUUACUGCUUGUCAACUGUAAAUGGACGAACUGUUUAUACUCACCCUUUAUAUAAUUGUGUAAUUAAUUAAUCUUUGUAUAACUCAAAAUUAUUGUUUACUCUAUCAAUCUUAAUGAAUUGAAAGUAGAUGGUUUUAAUUUGCAAAUGUUUUUGCUUCUAUAUUUGUAACUAUUUUUAUUUAAAAAAAUUCAUUAAACAAAUAAAGUUGACCAAAGCAUUCUCCAAAUGCCGACCGUUUUAAUUGACAAAGCUUAAAAACUUUUAAGGAAAUUGGGGCAGAAUAAAUCCUUGAUUAUGUGUAAACUGAUAACCUUCAAAAACCAUUUAAAUUGCCUUUCUAAAGUAUUCUAAUCGAAUAUUUGCUAUAUGAUUUCGAACCAAGUUCGAUUUGUUCAAUUCAUGAUUAAAUGGCAAAGAUAAUAUUUUAAGGAGUUGAAAUAGUUCCACUUUAUUAAUAACUUGGUACAAACCUAAUAAAAAUGAGGAUAUUGGAGUCUCUCGCUCCCCUUGUAUUUGAGAGUAUUUUCGCUUAUUUAUUUAUUAUUUUAGAUUUCUAUGCUGCGUUUAUCUAGUUUAUUAAAAAAAAAGGAAGAUCCUCCUUCGAAAAAUUUCACAAAUUCCAUGCGAGUUAAGUAAGAACUACGCCAUUCAUUAUUUUUAUAUAUGCGGAUACAAGUUGAUCAUAUAUAUAUAUAGAGAGUAACUAAACUAUGUCUUCAGGCAACUAGUUAGCCCCGAACUUUGCUUGAAGAGCUUUCACUACAUAAGGAUCAAGUUGGAAUGCCCUGGCGAGAGCAUAAGGAUCAAUUGGUGGAUCUGAUCCGAAGACUACAUCUGCAAUUGUAAUAACACCAGGAUUCUGGCUACUCAAAGCAGCGAUGGCAAACAGCGUUGGUUGGUCGAAUAUUCACUUGGAAAUGAAUGAGCCCAUUUGGAAACACAAACACAUCUCCUUUGUUCAGGGCUCUGGUGAAGUGUGUUCUUUAGCUGGUUUGAUGUCACAAAACCAACAUAGAGAGUGCCCUCUAGGAUUACUAGGAUUUCUGGGGCACAAUGAUGAGAGUGAUGUGGGUUUGGCCGCUGUUUGCCGCGUAGUCGAUACGAACUAUAGAUAUGCCGAGUAGUGUUGUGCCCUGGAAUCUGUUCUACAUUUGCAGUUGUGACUGUUGAGCUAACUUGAUUCGCUACGCUUUUAGGGAUAUUGUGCCCUGAAAAUUAAUCAAAACUACUUGUUAAAAAGAUUCCGUUUCGUUUUGAAUUUUUUUGUGCCUUUUACUAUUUUAUCCCUAUAAUUAGACUUAUGAUACAUAAAAUGUCAACAAUUAAUCAAUAAGAGAAAAAAAUUAGUCAUAAGUCUGAUUUUAAUGGUAAAAUAAAAAAUAGACAAAAAAGUACAAAGUUUACGUAAUCAUUUUAAUGCCAAAGAGUUUUAAUGAGUUUUGAAACGUAAGGAGAAAAAUAAUAAAUCUACUAGAACAAUAGGAAGAUUUUGAUCAUUUUCCCACUGAUAUAAAGAAAAACGAUACACACCACACGUCUUGAUCUUGAAAUCGUUGAUGGCGACACAAAAAUCCUGAAGACGGCUAGGGUCAGAGGCAAUGGCCAAUGAACAAGCCAAAACCAAGAGAACAGAAGCUACAGGAAAUUGAACUCCUUUCAUGUUGAUUAGCCACAUGCAAUUAGGGAUGGCAAAAAUUCCUACGGGGACAGGUACCCUCGGGGAUUUUCCCCAUUCAGGGAGGGUAUGGGAAUAAUUUCAUACCCAAUUUCUUAUUCGAGGAAGGGACGGAGAAAUUUUUUUACCAAUUUCUUAUUCGGGGAGGGGACAUGGAUGAGGUGGAAUCCUCAUCCCCUACCCAUUUUCCCAUUUUAAUUUUUAAUUUUAUUAUUAUUUUUUAAAAUUACUAGUAAAUAAAUUAUAAAAUUUGAAUUAUAAAAUUAUAAAUAUUGGUAAAAAUAACAAAUAUCAAAAUAUUUAUAUUAUUAAACUUUUAGGCUUAAUUAACUAAUUAAAGUUCUAAAUUUUUAUUUAGGACAUUAAAAAAACCGGGUAAAUUCUAUUAGCCCAAAAAUUUUGUUUUAAUUUUAAUAUUCAUUAAAUGUUUUAAACUUAAAUAUAUUUUUUAUUUAUUUUUAGAUGUUAUAAUUGCCCACAGCGAAUCACAAUUUUAAUAUCUAAUUUAAUCUAAUAUUUGCUCUUGAUUUGCUCCGACUUAACUAUUGUGUUGUAGAAGGAAUAGUCCACAUUUAUAAAGUGCCAUGCCACCAUUGAAAAAGUUAAUUUUGAAUCUAAAUUCGAUUUUAUUUGUAACAAUUUUGUAUUAGACUAUUAAUUUAUUCAUGAUAGUUUGUAAAAGAAGUUUGUAUCCCUUACAUGCUGCGUUACUUACAAAUUUAAUGUAUGUGACUUUUGUAAUGGAUAUUAAUGUAAGAUAUAUUUCAAAUUUUACUUUUAUUUUAAUUUUUUAUUUUAAUAUGAUUAACUCAAAAUCAAAAACAAAAAAUGUAUUAGUUAUUCGGGGAUCGAGGACCCUUGGGGAUCCCCUAUUAUUAUUCGGGGAGGGGAUGUAGAUUCUCUCAAGUAAUUCUGACGGGGACGGGGACAUACGCAAAAUAUCAGGGAUGGGUACGGGGAGAUUGGUCCCCUCCCCUCCCCUCCCCAUUGCCAUCCCUACAUGCAAUUGCUUGCUACAUGCAUGCAAAUGUUCAACAUUAUGUGUGAUUGCUCUUAUCAAGCGACAUCAACUAGUCAUCUACCAAUUGAUCUUGGGGCUCAAUAGAAUCUGUUUCACAUCAGAUUUUGCAUAACAAAAAGUAAUGAAGAGAUUAAUUAAUAUAUGUGUGUGUGUGUGUGUGUGUACGGAAAAAAUAUAUGUAUAAGGAGAGGCAUGGGAAAGGCUUAGCUGCUAAAUAAAACAAACCAUAAAUUAUGUUUAUUACAUGGCUACAAUCAGCCUGAAGAGAGGUUCAUGAGAGAGCUUUUUUUUUACAUUAAUUAAGAUAUGAUAAUCUAGAGCUAAAACAAUAAAGCCACUAGUGAAGAGGCCAUUUAUAUUAAAGCUCAUUAAUUCCUUCUCCUAAUCGCCAUUAAUGAACUUAUGCUGAAGAUCUUUCACUGUCUUCGGGUCCAACUGGAAUGCCUUGGCAAGAAAAUCGGGAUUGAUUGGAGGAUUAGCUCCAAAGACCGCGUCGGCUAUGGUAAUUUCACCGGGGAACUGGCUGUUUAGAGCAGAAUAGGCAACUGCAUUUGUUUUUCCAACGUUGAAUUGGAAGUGAAUCAAACCUUUUGGAAACACAAAAGCAUCUCCCUUAUUCAGAACUUUUGCGAUGAGUUUGUUAUUUAGCUGGUCUGAUGUCACAAAACCGACAUGAAGAGUUCCUUCCAGGACCAGCAGGAUUUCACUGGCACGGGGGUGAAUAUGAGGUGGCCUUUGGCCGUAUGGCGCAUAGUCAAUGCGGAAUGCUGAUAUGCCAAGGGUGUUGAGGCCUGGAAUUUGCUCAACAUUUGCAUCUGUUUCAUCAACACCAAGUCGAUUUGCUGUGUUUCCAGGCUUGUCUAGCCCUGAGAAGAAGAAAUCAUCUGCUCUCGCAAGCUUGGGGUCCUUGCAGAACUUCCCAUUCACAAACACUACAAGAACACACACACAUACACACACAAAGGGGGAAAAAAAGAAUAAUUAAGUAGCAGCACAAAUUAUAUUGAAAUUUAUAUGUUUCGUUAGUUCAGCUUACGUACCACCAUCCUUCGGGUCCUCGAUGGCUACACAGAUAUCUUGUAGAGGGCUAGGGUCAGAGGCAGAGGCCAAAGAAGAAGCCAAAGCCAAGAGAGCAAAACCUAUAAGAAAUUGAAUUGCCUUCAUGGUGAUUAAUUAACAGGACGUACUUAUCUCAAACUUUAAUCAAGUGUUGGGAUUUGAGAAUAUAGCGAGGGAACCUAGCCUAUUUAUAGAACGGAAUCCAUGAACGAGUCUGUGAGUUCAAUUUCUUAGUCCUCGAAGCAGGAGAAGACUAACAGAGUCCUCAUUGGUUAUCUUUCUUAGGGCCUGUUCGGUAAUUUUUUCCUCUCAUCUUAAAAUAUAAUUUUUUCCUCUCAUCUUCUUCCUCUCUCUCUCUCCCUCGUCGUCAAAUCUUAUCUCUAAGUGUCUCAUCUUCUCCCUUUCUCUCCCUUACCAAGUUAUACACGUUACUGCUUUUUCCUUUUUUCUCGAUCAUUUUUUCAAUUGACAUUGUGCUUUCCUUCAAUUUACUCAACUCAUUGGAAAGAAACGAGUUGAAGAAUGUAUGAAAAUGGGUGAGAAGGAAAUUCACGUCUUUGGCAACAGACUAACAGUUGAGAGUCAUGUUCUGUAGAUAUCGAUGUUUCCGGACCUGAUUGGUUUGUCGUUGGACUUAAUGGAGAAGCAAGAUUAGGCUUUUUUUUUUUUUCUUUUCAUAGCAACUUUCGUAGCUUCUUUAACCAUUUUUAGUUCUAUUAAUGCUUUACAAGUCAAUGAUGCACGUGUUUUUUUCAUUACGUGUUAAAGUCACAAAUCAUCUGCUUCAAGAGAAAACAGACUAGGAUCAGAAAGGAACCAAAAGUCUUCCAUCUUAUUUUCUGUGGUCACGUUAAUUAGAAGCUGGAGUCGGCACUUUUUGUUAGAGAUAUCCUUCUACAAUCUCAAUUGAUAUAAUAUCAUUUCAACUUUAAUGGCUGCCCGAGGUUUACCGACCGGCUAGCUCAUUAUUUUUUUGAUAAAAAUUAGUUACCUUCGUUUGUUAUAUAAUCAGGGGGAUAUUGGAAUAAAAGAGAAUGGAAAAUGCUAAGUAUCAAGAAGAAUGAGAGAAAGCUGAGAGAAUGAAGCAUGUGCUGAGAGAAGAGAGAGAGAGAAAAAGUUGACAGAAGAGAGAGAGAUGAAGCAAAACAGCAACCUGAAUUGUAGUUUCUCUCAGCUUUCUCUCGUUCUUCUAGCCAUCUAGCAGCACUCAAAGAGAAUAAUUCUUUUUGACGCUUUAAUUAUGCAGUGAGUGCUACUAUAUGACUAGAAGAACGAGACAAAGCUGAGAGAAACUACAAUCUAGGUUGCCGUUUUGCUUCAUCUCUCUUUUUUGUCAGCUUUUUUUCUCUCUCUCUUCUCUCAGUACAUGCUUCAUUCUCUCAACUCUCUCUCAUUCUUCUUGAUACUUAGCAUUUUCCUUAUGUAAUUGAUCCCCUGCAUUGGGACUGUACCGUUAUAUAUUAUUUGCUGUUUGUUUUUUAUUUAAGAUCUGAAUAAGUUUAAAUUGGUAUGAAUUUUAAAUAAAUUUAAAUGCAUGAAUUUGAAUAACGUAUUUAUUUAUUUUUUGUCACAAACUUUGAGAAUAAAUAUUAAGUUAUUUUUAACUUCAAAAAUCUAAAAUCAAAACCUUUACAUUUGUGUCCUUACAAUUUUAAAUGUUAAAUAUAUAAUGAACAUCUCAAAGAAUAUAAAUAAGAUAGUAUUUUAUCAUAAUAUAUUUAUAUUUUGUAUGAAUUUUAAAUAAAUUUAAAUGCAUGAAUUUGAAUAACGUAUUUAUUUAUUUUUUGCCAGAAACUUUGAGAAUAAAUAUUAACUUUUAACUUAAAAAAUCUAAAAAUCAAAACCUUUACAUUUGUGUCUUUACAAUUUUAAAUGUUAAAUAUAUAAUGAACAUCUCAAAAAAUAUAAAUAAGAUAGUAUUUUAUCAUAACAUAAAUGGUGCUAAGUGAAUGCAACCUAUUAAUAUUCUAAAUUAGAAUUAUAUUAAUAAAAUUUUGUGAAGAUAAAUAAUUCUAGUUUGAAGAAAAUAAAAAGAUAAAAAUAAUGAUAAUUUACUACUAUAUUAGUAAGCUUUAUUUAGGUAAGGAGGAAAAUAAAUUAAUUAGAUAAAGGUAUUGCAGAGAAUAUUUUUCAAUGAUGUGAUUCAAAAUUUUCAGAUUAAGUAAAAAGCUAAACAAAAUAAUUAGCUUAAAAACUUAAUGACUUAUCAAUCACUAAAUUUUUUUAUUAAAUUGAAAAAAUUAACAGAGUUAUGGUCCAUUUAGGAUUUAUUUCGGGAGGUGCUUUUGAAAAGUUUAAAAGGUAAUUUUGAUGUUUGACAAAUUUUUUAAAAAAUCACUUUUAGCAAAAUCACCAUAUCAUACAACAAAUUUUUAAAAAUAGAGAAAGAGUAGUUUUUUAAAAUUGGAUUUCGAGAAUCUCUUUUAUACUUAAUACAAUUUCAUAUAUAUUCUUAUAUAUAGGAAAAAAUCCAAAACCAUCCUUAUAAAUUAGAAAAUAAAAUUAUUAAUUUUAAAGAGAUUAUUAUUAUUACCAAUUCUAUUGAGAUAACAAAAUAAAAAAUAAAAUUAAAAAUAUAAAACAUUUAUUUUAGUUAUCAAUUAUUAUUUAUACACAACUAAAAAUAUUUUAUUUAUAUGUUUAUAAAUGUGUAAAUAAUUUUUAUUCAACAAUAUGUUCAAUUUAAUUAUUUACAUUGUUAAAACAUUUUAACAGUAAGAUUUACUAAACAUUUAAUUGAUUCUCUAUACAGCUGAUUAUUUUUACAGUAUAGCUAACAACAAUUAUUUUAAAAUUUAUAACAUUAUCAAACUGACCCUUAGUGACUUAAUUGACUAAAAUUAAGUCAAUUAAAUCAUUAAGUUAGGAAAACAAACUGCCCUUUAGUAAAUUUCUUAAUGCAAAUAUUAUUAAACUAUAAUGUAAUUAAAAAUAAUAAUCUCUUCCUCUAUUCACUUUUUUAAUUACAAUUAGUUUCAGUAGCUAUUUUGAAUGACAAACUGAAUUGAUCGCGAUAUAAUAAUCUCUUCUUUCAAUCAUAUGGGCAGGUUUGAGUCACUGAGGUAGCUGUGGGAAUUUGUUUUCGUUGAUUUCUGCACUGGGCUUUUUAGGAUUAUUUGUAAAGGCAUUAAUUAAGUAUUUUUAAUGGGUUUAUAUGUAAAUUAGAUUGUAUGUAAUAUUAAAGGUUUGUCAACCAAACUGGCAACCAUUAAUUAAGUUAAAAUCCAUUCGUGUCAGUAUUUAAGAUACGUGUCACAUUCUGGCAACAAUCUUAAUAUGUGUUUCCAUUCGAACUUUCCACUGGCUGCUUGACCCAUCUAAGUUAUGAAAAGUUUCUGAGAAAAUGAAAAAAUAAUCCAUGGCCGUGGAAAUAAUAGAACGCCGCCAGCUGUAUUGUAUGAUUCUAUGAGCGAUUUAUCAUUUCUUUUUUCUUUUUAUUUCGACAAUUUAUUACUGACUACUGUAUUGCAGGCUUGUAGCCAUUAAGUGUUUGGAUAAUUUAUCCCAUUAUUUUCAAAUAUAAUCCAGAUAUAAUUCUAGAUUAUGCUGGUAGAAACAUCGUCUCAAAGAUUCUAUUGGGUCAUCAAUAGCUGUAUAUAUCUUGAAGGGGACUAAUUUUUCUAGGAUAUGCUGGUGGAAAAUUUUGCACCACGUAACUACUAUGAAUGAGUCUUUGUUGCUUAAUUAAGACUCUAAUCUCUCUUUCUAGACUGCAAGAUAAGUUUAAGCUAGAAACAUUAUAUCAAGGUGUACACAUUUUCAUCAAAUAUAAUUGUAGACUUUCUGGUCACACAUUUUACCAUUUAGUCCAUAAUUUUUCAAAAUACCUAUUACGUUUCUAAUAUUAUACUUUUAUGUUUGAAUUAGUCUGUUGAACUAUACAUGUGACUUUUUAACAUAGAAUACCCUACAUACCUUUUAGUAGGGGAUUUAAAAAAAAGAGCGCAUUAUAUUAAACUAAGGUAGCAUUUGUUUUUUUUUUUUUUUCUGAAAUCUAAAUGAAUUUGAAUUUUUCUAAAGUCUGAAUGGGUCUGAUUACGAAAAUUUAAAUAAUAUGUUUAUUUUUCUUUUUUAAAUAUUUGAAUAUAAGUGACAUUUUGUUUGUUUUUAAAAUAAAAACAUCUUAAACUUGGUUAUUUGACAUUUAUGUCCUUGUAAAUUCAAAAAAAAAAAAGAGAAUUAGAUUUUAUAGUUUAGGAAAUAAGUUAUUUUACAGAGAUAUUUUUAGAAUAUAAUAUUUACUUGUCUUUCAGACCUUUUUUCAUACAGAUAAAAGUCACAAAGUUUAUUUUUUCUAUUCAUAUGUAAAUGUCUGAAAAUCAGACAUAAGUUCCAAAAAAACAAACAAGUAUAUUUUAGAAAAGGUCUGAAAUUAAUAAAAUUUCAAACUUCAGACAUUUAACAAACAAUCUCUAAGUGUAUGUUUAAUAUGAUUUAUCUAAUGGUCAUAAGUGCUUAUCUAAUCCCAUAAAUUCCUUUUAAAAUUAUUAUUAUUGUUUGAUUGCAUUUUAAGUAAAGUUUUUAAGGAUUAAAUAAAUUUUUUUGUCUCUACUAACAAAAACUUAAAUUUUAAAAUUUUGAGAGUAUAGAUUAGAGAGACCUUUUAAAAAGUUAAAUCGUCCAAAAUGUUCCAUUAUUUAUUUCACAAUAUUAUGACAUUUCUCUCUCUCUCUCUCUCUCUCUAUAUAUAUAUAUAUAUCUUAAUUUUAAAAAUUUAUCUAUUAAAAUAAUUUUAUAUAAUUUUUAACAAAGAUCUCAUCGACAACCAAACAACUAAAAUUUCUUUAAUAAAAGCUUCACUUAUAAAAAUUUUACUAAUAAAAACUUUAUUUGAAUAAAUUUUAUCAGAAAAAUUAUACCAAACGAAGCUAACAAUAAGAUUAUAAUAGUAAAAGAAUUCAAUAAUUGCACUCUUAAUGUUACCAUUUAAAAAUUAUUAAGUUAAGAAUGAAAUAGGUAAUUUGGGAAACCCAUCUGGAGGGAUUUGCUUAACAUCCUUUAAAAUUUUUUCCCAGCUGGAAGUAAUUGCUGAACAUCCUUUUCAAUUCCCGAGUAUUAUCUAAUCAGCUUAUUUUGUCAUUUUUAGGUGUUUGCAAAGGCUUUUGGCAAGGAUACUGGGUUGGCUUACGUGUAGUGGACUGAUCAUGUUGACUUUGUUCGGUAGCACAUUUUAUUUUACGCGUGUCUAGUUGUAACCAUGUCUCUCACUGUAUACACCAGUGUGAGUGGGUCCGCCUACUAUUUUAUGACAAUUUAUGUUAUACUGACAAUAUUUUUCGUGCUGAUCACAAGUUUGAAGUUUUGCUUCUCUCGAAGAACUGGCUCCUUUCAUUUAUUUAUUUAUUAAAAUUUACAUUUUUUUUCCGUUUCCUUGCAAGAAAGGUAAUUAGAUUAAGUUUAACGGGGCGAUGAUGUUUUCCAUUAAAUAAGUAAAACACAAUUUUAUGCCAGAGUAGAAAUGGCCAAUCAAAACAAGGGUUAUCCAUGUUCGUGCCAUGCCGUCGUGUGCUUAAUUUUUUUUUCUCGUACCUUGCCCAUAUAUGUUGUGUUGUGUCUAAAAAAAAGUUCAAUAAUUUUUUUUAGUUUUUUAAAAGCACGUACUAAGUAAUUGGUAUAUUUUUUUUAAGUUUAUGUUUUUUUUAGGUCUAUACCUUUAUUCAAAUUUAAUAGAAUUGAAAAUUUAAAAGUCAAGUCUAUAUUUUAUAAUAAUAAACUAAUAAUAGUAAGAGAAUGUAAUAUUAAUUUUUAAGUUUGACAUUUUAACAUUAUUUUUUUUAUACUUAACAACAACAACAAUAGUAAAUUUUUCUUAAGGGUUAACUUAAUUGUUAACUUAGACUUACAUAGAGUCAUAGAUCAUAAUUCACAAUAAUAUUAAUGGAUAUUUAUAAAAUCAUAAUAAUUAUAAUUUUAUUUAUUAAAAUCAUGAUAUCAAUUAUAUAUUUAAUAAAUUAUAAAUAUAAAUCAAUUAUAGUACUUUUUAAACUAAGAAUUAAAUGAAUUUAAAAAAUUCAUUUUCAAGUUAUUUGUAAAACUAUAAAAUUUUAAGUUUACUUUCAUUAAAAAAUAAAAUGUGCUUAUUGUGAACUUUUUUAUCGUGCUAUACUUAGUCCAUUUCUAAUCAUGUAGUGCUUUUAAUGCUCACGUGCUUAAAAUUUUAAGUCUGGCCCAGUCCACGUGCGUACUGUGCCAUACCACAUACCCUACCAAAACGUGCUGGUAUUGUGCCGUACUGUACGAAUACAUGUCGUGCCAUGUGUCAUCUAGUCCAUUGGCCAUCUCUACGCCAGAGUGACAAUAUGCCACAUUGAGAAGAAUUGUGUGCCCCUAAAGCUGGAUUAAUAAUUUAAUUUGAAUUGACAUAUAUAACAGUUGUAGGCUAACCAAUAUUUCCACAGAAAAAAGUAGUUCAAAAUUAUUGGUCGCAUCUUGUCAUAAAUGUUUUAACUCUGCGCAGUUGGUGUAAUAGUUUCGGCUGCUAUUCUCUUUACUACUAGAGCCUAGAGAUGGAGUGAAGCAUAUUGGGAAUUAGGAAAAGAGCGUUGCUUCCUUACAAUUAGGCAGGCGCUAAGUUACGGUUAACGUAACUUACGCCCACACACAGCAACAGUACCACUGGUGGGGCCUGGUACUGUUGCUACGUAAGUUACGUUAUGCCGAGUAGUGUUGUGCCCUAGAAUCUGUUCUACAUUUGUAGUUGUGACUGUUGAGCCAACUUGAUUUGCAAUGAUUUUAGGGAUAUUGUGCCCUGAAAAUUAAUCAAAACUACUUGUUAAAAAGAUUCCGUUUCGUUUUGAAUUUUUUUGUGCCUUUUACUAUUUUAUCCCUAUAAUUAGAUUUAUGAUACAUAAAAUGUCAACAAUUAAUCAAUAAGAGAAAAAAAUUAGUCAUAAGUCUGAUUUUAAUGGUAAAAUAAAAAAUAGACAAAAAAGUACAAAGUUUACGUAAUCAUUUUAAUGCCAAAGAGUUUUAAUGAGUUUUGAAACGUAAGGAGAAAAAUAAUAAAUCUACUAGAACAAUAGGAAGAUUUUGAUCAUUUUCCCACUGAUAUAAAGAAAAACGAUACACACCACACGUCUUGAUAUUGAAAUCGUUGAUGGCGACACAAAAAUCCUGAAGACGGCUAGGGUCAGAGGCAAUGGCCAAUGAACAAGCCAAAACCAAGAGAACAGAAGCUACAGGAAAUUGAACUCCUUUCAUGUUGAUUAGCCACAUGCAAUUCCUUGCUACAUGCAUGCAAAUGUUCAACAUUAUGUGUGAUUGCUCUUAUCAAGCGACAUCAACUAGUCAUCUACCAAUUGAUCUUGGGGCUCAAUAGAAUCUGUUUCACAGCAGAUUUUGCAUAACAAAAAGUAAUGAAGAGAUUAAUUAAUAUAUGUGUGUGUGUGUGUGUACGGAAAAAAUAUAUGUAUAAGGAGAGGCAUGGGAAAGGCUUAGCUGCUAAAUAAAAACAACCAUAAAUUAUGUUUAUUAAAUGGCUACAAUCAGCCUGAAGAGAGGUUCAUGAGAGAGCUUUUUUUUUAACAUUAAUUAAGAUAUGAUAAUCUGGAGCUAAAACAAUAAAGCCACUAGUGAAGAGGCCAUUUAUAUUAAAGCUCAUUAAUUCCUUCUCCUAAUCGCCAUUAAUGAACUUAUGCUGAAGAUCUUUCACUGUCUUCGGGUCCAACUGGAACGCCUUGGCAAGAAAAUCGGGAUUGAUU